rnacentral:rRNA from 1 species
UGAUGACGAGACGCUAAGGCGUUGAAGCAGUGUAUGUGAGACUUCCAAGAAAAGCUCGCAAUGUCACAAAUAAAAAGUGCCUGUACCAUAACCGACACAGGUGGGUAGGUAGAGUAUACUAAGGGGCGCGAGAUAACUCUCUCUAAGGAACUCGGCAAAAUGACUCCGUAACUUCGGGAGAAGGAGUGCCUUAUUUAUAAGGUUGCAAUAACAAGAUCCAAGCAACUGUUUAUCAAAAACACAGGUCUCCGCUAAGUCGUAAGACGAUGUAUGGGGGCUGACGCCUGCCCAGUGCCAGAAGGUUAAAGAAGUUGGUUAGUGUAUGCGAAGCUGAUGACUGAAGCCCUGGUGAACGGCGGCCGUAACAAUAACGGUCCUAAGGUAGCGAAAUUCCUUGUCGGGUAAGUUCCGACCCGCACGAAAGGCGUAAUGAUUUGGAUACUGUCUCGGAGAGAGGCUCGGUGAAAUAGACUUGUCUGUGAAGAUGCGGACUACCUGCACCAGGACAGAAAGACCCUAUGAAGCUUUACUGUAACUUGAAAUUGGAAUUGGACUUUGCUUGCGCAGUAUAGGUGGGAAGCGUUGAAAAUAUUCUUGCGGGAGUAUUGGAGCUAUCAGUGAGAUACCACUCUUGUAAUGUUAGAUUUCUAACUUUGAACCAUAAUCUGGUCAAAGAGCAGUUUCAGGUGGGCAGUUUGACUGGGGCGGUCGCCUCCCAAAUGGUAACGGAGGCGUACAAAAGGUUUCCUCUGAACGGAUAGAAAUCGUAUCUAGAGUGUAAAGGCAUAAGGAAGCUUGACUGUGAGACCUACAAGUCGAGCAGGGACGAAAGUCGGUCUUAGUGAUCUGACGGUACUGAGUGGAAAGGCCGUCACUCAACGGAUAAAAGUUACUCUAAGGAUAACAGGCUGAUCUCCCCCAAGAGUUCACAUCGACGGGGAGGUUUGGCACCUCGAUGUCGGCUCAUCGCAUCCUGGGGCGGUAGUACGUCCCAGGGGUUGGGCUGUUCGCCCAUGAAAGCGGUACGCGAGCUGGGUUCAGAACGUCGUGAGACAGUUCGGUCCAUAUCCGGUGUAGGCGCUAGAAUAUUGAGAGGAGCCUUCCUUAGUACGAGAGGACCGGGAAGGACGCACCGCUGGUGUACCUGUUAUUAUGCCAAUUGUAAACGCAGGGUAGCCAAGUGCGGAGAGGAUAACCGCUGAAAGCAUCUAAGUGGGAAGCCCACCUC